rnacentral:lncRNA from 1 species
CCCGCGGGCCCUGGGGGCCGCUCGCAGGGUGUUCGCUGGCGCCCGGAUGUCUGAGCUCUGGCUCCACUCUGGCUCCGGCUCCCUCCGCAGCCUGCGGGGGGGGCUCGCAGCCCAUCCGGAGCCUCGCGGCGCCCCCGCCGCUUCUGCCAGCAGCGCGGCCUGCAGCUCUCAACCUCCCGGCCUGGGGUCAAACAACGAAGAAAAAGCGCAAUAAAGUCAGCCACCAUAGACACAGUGACAGUGCAGAUUUUCGGCACGUGACUGCCCUCUUGUGACCAGAUGCUGCAACUGUCAGCUAUCGCCCUGGAGGAGAGAAACGUCUUCCUGGCUACGAAUCUACUGUGUUCCAGAUUCCCGUGCGUCUCAGAUCUAAUCCUCAUCCUGUGGGAUGGGCGUUCUUAUUCUAUUUACGCAUGUGCAUGCUUAAGCCGAGGCUUCCAGAGAACAUCGAGCGGUAAAAAACCGGGCGGUUGUUAAGAGGGCCAACUUAGGCAGCAUUAAUGCAAAUGUCUGCUACUGCCUCAAGGCCUUGGGAAAAUGAUCAAACUCUCUGUUCCCAUUUCACUUCUGUUGCUGUGACCAAAAAAGCAAUUUAUGGAAGAAAGAGUUUAUUCAGCUUACAGCCCCAGGUUAGACCGUUACUUUAGGGAAGUCAAGGCAAGAACUUGAAGCAUUGUACCCACAGUCAAGAGCAGAAAGAAAAUAAACGCAUGGUUCUUGGCUUGCUAGUGAGCUUUCUCCUCUUCUCUUAGACUACUUACAACUCCAGUUUAGGCUGGGUCUUCCUGCAAGCAUGAUAAUCCCUGGCUGACAUGCCCACACACAAUCUGAUUUAGAUAAUUCCUCAUUAACACUUUCUUCCCAAG